rnacentral:rRNA from 1 species
AACGAACGCUGGCGGCAUGCCAAACACAUGCAAGUCGAACGAAGCCUUCGGGCUUAGUGGCGCACGGGUGCGUAGCGCGUGGGAAUCUGCCCUUUGGUUCGGAAUAACAGUUGGAAACGACUGCUAAUACCGGAUGAUGACGAAAGUCCAAAGAUUUAUCGCCAGAGGAUGAGCCCGCGUAGGAUUAGCUAGUUGGUGUGGUAAAGGCGCACCAAGGCGACGAUCCUUAGCUGGUCUGAGAGGAUGAUCAGCCACACUGGGACUGAGACACGGCCCAGACUCCUACGGGAGGCAGCAGUGGGGAAUAUUGGACAAUGGGCGAAAGCCUGAUCCAGCAACGCCGCGUGAGUGAUGAAGGCCCUAGGGUUGUAAAGCUCUUUUACCCGGGAUGAUAAUGACAGUACCGGGAGAAUAAGCCCCGGCUAACUCCGUGCCAGCCGCCGCCGUAA